UUUGGAUGGAGUCGGGUUAGCUGAGCUGUUUGGAAGUGAGUGGCUUUUCAAAUGACAUAUUUUCAUCCAAGAGAUAAGUGUUCCUUUCUCAUUUCUAUUUCCAGAAUAUUCAUUUGGUAGCCUGUUUCUUUCUAGAUAUGGAAACGGUUCUUAAUGUCUAUGGAGAAUUGAGUACAAAUUGUGGGAAAUUUGUUCUCUUUUCCGUCUAAGCUUCAAAUCUGGCAAUUUGUUCUCUAUUUAUAUCUAUAGUUCAUUCUUCAAAUUGUGGAAACUUUUUCACUGUGGCUUACAGUUUUGGGAAUGUCUGAAGAUUGUAAUAGAUCUUGUAAAUUGUGUUGCAUUUGCCCUCUUAUGUUGUCUUUUUCUAGAUCUAAAAACUUUUCUUCUAGAUAUGCUUUUCACGUUGAAAAUCUUUGGAGAAAUGGGUACAAAUUGUGGGUAUUUUUGUAGUGAAACCUUUGGACUAUUCAUGGCAAGAUGAGUGGGCAAUGAAGAAAUUGAAUAGCAGUCGGAUCCCCUUGCUUAUUACAGUCUAUAUAUAUUCGUAUAUCAAAUCAUUUUUUGUUUCUUUCUAAUUUUUUGUAUAAAUAUGUGCUUAAAUUGUGAUUUUUGAGUUGAUAAUGGAAAAUUAUUGAUUGAAUUGCAGAUAGAUUAAUAUUUUCGUUGAGAAUUUUUCGAUGCAUGUGUAAUUUUCAUAAAUGAGCAUUGACAAAAUUUUAAACCAAUACUAUUAUCCUUGCAGUUUAACAAUUUUUCUGCAAUUUCUCUUUGGUCUUGUAUAUUUUAUAAAUGCUUUAUUUUUGAAACUCUGUACUCUGAACCUUUCGAAUUCAGGUUGAAAACCUAUCUAUUUUGCAAUUUUCAUAUAUAUACUGUGAAGCUCAUUUUGGGUAAAGGUAACCCCCAUUUUGCGUAUAACUAUAGAUUGCUCAUGAAGCCCUACAAGGAGAGGGAAAAGUCCUUUAAAUGUAGAUUUUUCAUCCAUUUUUGUAAUAUUUUUUUGCUUUAUUCGAUAAUGAUAUCCUGUUGUUCAUUGAACAGUCUGUAGAAAACAGCAGCAAUACAUGGAGAGGGGAGAGUUUUCUGCUUAUUUAAACACAUCUGGAUUUUAUUCCUGAGAGCAAUUCAAUGUCCCCUUUGUGCUUCAUGUACACCGAGCUUGAGCUCGGUGUACAUGCCCCUCACAUGGGGGCCCAGCUCGGAAUAAAGACAAAUAAAAAAAUGGGCGGGUCCCGCCCCUUGAGAGGGGAGUGUCAACCGGACUGUACACUUUUUAAUGUACAAAUGGUAAAUUCC